AGAUUUUGAGAAGCGGGGUACUGUAGAAAAGAAUUACACAUCAAAAUGUGGUUACCGAAAUUGCAAAUGAAAACAGAAGUUGGAGAGAGUUGAAGUGUCUGCUAAUGCUGUGAAGGCAAAUCUUUGCUGCAUUAGGAUGAAGAUGCCUCCAAAAGAAAUCUCUCCUUCUAACAGUCUAACCAGAAUGCUUACUUAAAAAUUUUGCACACAUUGUUGGAAUUAUGCUGUUUGUUAAUGAAAUGGGUGAAAACUCCUGUUUCAAAAUAAAUAAACGAAAUCAGUAGAAGACUUGGAUUUUGAUCCUUUUUCUAACAAAUAGUGGACAAGUGAUGUCUGAUGCUAAAGAAUCAUCGAACAACUCAUGGAAUCCAAACAAGACAAGUGAGACUUACCGAUGAUUAAAUAUAAAUCUGUCUUAUUACCAAACUAUCUAUUUGAUUAGGGAAAAUAAAUAAAUAUGGUUCAUAAUGCAUACAAAAAAUAAGGCAUCUCAAUAUGGCAUAUUUGGCAUAUAAUUAUUUUAAUAAAUGCAUAGAGGGCUAUAAUUCAACAAGAUAAUUUUCCAUGUUUCCUACUUUGGCUACCCUAAGAAACAAUAACAAUUCCUCACAAAUCCUGGAAGUGUAGACACAAGAAAAUAAAAUAAACUAAAAUAAAUGAAGGUAAGUGAUUUUGAUCCUCAACCAAACAAAAUCUAAGAAUCUUAAAUAUAGGGGCCGUAGGAAGCAUGAACAAAAACAUUCUGCCAAAAACAUAGUGCCAACAUAUAAAAGAUUUAAUGCAGAUUGGUUGUUUUUGUAUUGUUUAUUUGUAUGCAUCAUCUUGACACAAUAUAUAUUCAUAUAUAUAUAUAUAUAUAUAGUUAUUUAUUUAUGUGAAAUACAGAACAACACCUUAGGAAAAUGAUCUAGACUCGCCUUACAUGUUACAAUAUAAUUAUGAAAGAUCAAACA
rnacentral:lncRNA from 1 species